AGAAAAGGCGAGAAGUCGAUAGUGAAAAAAAGUCUAAAUGGCGACUUUUUGAUAAUCGAAAAAAGUCGACUUUUUGAUUAUCAGAAAAGGUUGAACAUUCGUAAAGUCGACUUUUUGAUUUCACUUUAGAUUCCUACUCAACAACGACUAAAACAAAGAGCGCAAGAAGACAUAUGACUUGCCGUCAACGCUACCGUAAAGGUUUGACCAUCACUGAUGCAAACUAAUUUGCGAUUUAUCACUCAAAAGAAUUUGUUUUUGUUUUGAUUAUUUGAGAAGGGCCAAGAAAGGGUGUGUAAAAAAUGUAAAAGCGUGCUAGGUUCGUCAUUGCACAAAUUUUCAGGUUUUAGACUAUGUCUGGUUAUAGCCCGAUUCAGGUCAUACUUGGCACGUAUGUUGGAGGUCACAGGUGAAGCCAUUGUGAAAAAUUUCAGCCUUUAGAGGCUCAAAAAAAUAAAAUCGGCAGAUCGGUUUAUAUAAGAGCUAUAUCAGAUUAUGGAAUUUCGCCCUCUUCAAGAAGUAAAAUCGGGAGAUCGGUUUAUAUAAGAAUUUUAUUAGACCGUAUUUAGCACGAAUGUUGAAGAUCAUAGGAGAAGACGGUGUGCACAAUUUAAAAAUUCCAAAUCGGUUUAUAUGGGAGCUAUAUCAAAACACAGACCGAUAUGGCCCAUCUACAAUCCCAGCCGACUUACACCAAUAGGAAGUAUUCGUGCAAAACUUCAAGCGCCUAGCUUUACUACUUAAAAAAAAUUGCUUCCACAGAUCGGCAGACCGAUUCAUAUGGCAACUAUACCUAAAUGUAGUCCGUUCUGAAUCAUAUUUAAGUCGGACAUCGGGAGGCUUAAAACAACUCAGUUUCCAAUUUCAGCGAAAUCGGAUAAAAAGUUCGGCUUUUACGGGCUUAAGACUCUUAAUCGGCAAAUCGGUCUAUAUGGGAGCUAUAUUCAAAUAUAGUCCGAUUUGGCCAAUUCAAGAACUAUGGAAGUGCAAAAUUCUGCUCAAUAUCUCAAUUUUGAAGACUGUAGCGUGAUAACAAUUGGCGGACAUCGUUAAAUCGUCCUAGAAUUUUACGACGAUCAGAAAUAUAUAUACUUAAUAGGGUCGGGAAUGGAAACUUCGAUGUGUUGCAAACUGAAUGACUAACUGAAUAUACCCCCUAUUCUAUGCUGGUGGGGUUAAAAAUCAUGUGGGCAUGCCAAACAAAAACGGUUAAUCACAUCCAUUGCUUUAAUCGACUAUACAUUUCAGAAAUCGAAUGUUAAUAAUGAAAAAAGUCUCAAAGCCUAUUUAUCUGUAAAAAAAAGUCGACUUUUUGAUAAUCGAGAAAAGGCGGGAAGUCGAUAGUGAAAAAAAGUCUAAAUGGCGACUUUUUGAUAAUCGAAAAAAGUCGACUUUUUGAUUAUCAGAAAAGGUUGAACAUUCGUAAAGUCGACUUUUUGAUUUCACUUUAGAUUCCUACUCAACAACGACUAAAACAAAGAGCGCAAGAAGACAUAUGACUUGCCGUCAACGCUACCGUAAAGGUUUGACCAUCACUGAUGCAAACUAAUUUGCGAUUUAUCACUCAAAAGAAUUUGUUUUUGUUUUUUUUUUUUUGUAAAUUUAGCAAACAAACUUCUACAAUUUCUUAAACAUGUAGAUUUUUUUAAGUAAUAUAACUAUAUUUUUAGAAAAAUUCUCAGAAAAUUGUUGGCAACGUAACGAAUUUUCAUAAAUAUCUUCUCAGACAGCAAGACAACUAUUAAAUCCCUUGUUUAAAUGAGUACGUACACGUUCAAGUGUUAGUUUCAAACUGAUUAUUUAUUUAAAAUUGUUCUAUCACUAGAGCUCCUGAAAAUCUUAAAACUAGACUAGAACGAGAUACCAACACAGUGGUAUGUUCGUUCAACCUUAUCUUCUAAUUUUUAUUAUUACAUGCACACACAUGCAGCACGCUGGGAGAGCACGUGCGUUUUAUGUGAACAUUAAACUACAAAAAGCGUCGUAAAAGUAAGCAUAAGGUAGCCAUAAUUGCUAUUGCUUUAUUUUACAUAAUGGAACAAUUAAGAGGUAGCGUCUUUAGCUCAGCAACAAAAAUCUACCCCCAACGAAACUACCUUGAGGGACAAAUACCGUUAAAUGAAAUGCCAAAUGUUGUUGUCGUUGGCACACUUUCAUGUGAAGGUAGGUAAGCAAGCUCGUUCCGGUUCAAAGGAACGAUCGGCGAGGGAACAGUAUGACCAUUGAUUAUUUAAAGGCGCCAAUAACCCUCCUUGUCAUAUCGAGCAUCAUAGGUACUCAGUACUUGUGAAAUAGCCGGCAUUGUCCGCGACUGCCGUUGCAGCUACUCCGUGUGAAGCAUUCCACUGUCCGCAACCUGUGGAUAGUAGAAUCCCCGAUAGCUCUCAGCUAUCCUUCUUGUGACAGCAAUGAACACCAAACAGAACGGACCUCAAUGUUCCAGUCUAUGUGGUGCUCACAGCUUGCUCACAGAUGUUCUAUCGGAUCAAAUAGAACAUCUUUUUAUGAUUAUAGAAAAAAAUCACAGCUGUGCUUUCAAGCCUUUGACAUUUAAAUUUACUGCAAAAUCAAACAAAAAUAAAAAUAAUUGUACUCAGCUGUUCCCAUGACCUUACCAUAUAAGUGCAUCCUGACUUUACAUGUUCAAAACAUUUCCUUUUCUUGGACAUCACUGGCGAAUGUAUUUGCUUCCGUAUAUAAAAUGUAUGUAAAACAACUUGACACUGACUCGUCACUCUUUAAUUGGGUUUAGACUCUUUAUUGCUUGUCUUGCCGAUAAUUUGGCAAGACCACACUCACACACAAACAUGUGUGCGAGACGUACGUAGACAAAACAAGCAGUCUUCUAAUUCAGUUCGAACUCCAAUUUCAGUUUUGGUCCUCAUUUUUGUUAUGUUUUGUCGUGCAAGUUUCGACCGUAUACCUAAGAAAAUUUGUUUUGACUUGGGAGGCGAAUAUGCUAAUGGAAAUGGCAAGGAUGCAAUUCUUCCAAACAUUUAUUAAGGAUGAGCAACUGCAACACCUAAUUAAGUAACCAUCUCGAGUUUUUAUGACAAAGAUAACGCCAUAUGAACUAUGGUACGGGACAAAACCUAACUUGGAAACUUCAAGUUUUCGAUUCAAAAUGCCCAUCAGAGAAGAGCGAUGAUGAUAAGUCAAAGCGUUUCGAUGUUUCAACCCGUUGACUAAAAAGGUGACUAUUAGUCGGCAUGUGAUUUUUACAGGUGCAAUAAGUAGCGAAAUAAAUAUAUAUAUCUAUGUCCAAAUAAUGAACCGAAUAAUAAAUUAUUGGUUGAGGAGGAGGAAUCUGAUCCAAAUAUUUCGGAUGAAAGUGCAAUCAAUAAUUCAAGUGAAGAUAACGUAAUCAAUGACAAGGUAAUCUAAAUCAUGAUGAAUUUGGAAUAAGAACUUCAUCAAGAAUCAACAAAGGUAUAGCGGCGAGGAGAUUAAUCGAUGAAAUUGGGCAGUUAAUGAAAUGAAGGAACCUAAAACAUACAAAAAAGCCAAAAAAGCUCAAUGGUUAGAUGCAAUGCGAAAUGAAAUAGAGUCAAUGGGAAGCAAUGGCACGUAGGAACUUUGAACACAUCCAAAACGUCAACUGCAGUUGGAAGUAAGUGGAUAUACAAAUUGAAACGAAAUGCGGAUAGUGAUAGAUGUCAUUUCAAAGUCAGGUUAGUUGCUCAAUGGCUCUAGCACAGGUACGGUAUAGACUAUGAUUAGGUAUUCGCACCAGUUCCAACUCAUACUUCAUUAGAAUUUUGUUGCCUAUUGCCAAAAAAAGAGAAUCGCAUUGUGAACAAUUUUGACGUCAAGAUUGCGUUUUUGAACCACAAGUUAUUAGAAACUACAUAUAUAUGGGAUUUCAAAAUGAAGAAUCGGUGUGUUUACAAAAGAAAAGUAUUUAUGGAUUAAAACAAGCUGCUCGUACAUGGAAUUCGGUCUUAGAUGAAGUACUUAAUAAAUUAGAUUUUAAACGAAGUAUGAACGACUUAUUUUUACAUUCUGUUGAUGCCUGCUAAAAGAUACGUUAUGGAAGUUAUGUCUGGUACUACAAUGGGCAACAUUCAGAGGUUAAUGUAUAUUAUAAAUACCAUACCAUAUGAAUACCAUAGCGUUGACAAAUUUUUUCAACGGCUUGUGACUCUGUAAUUGCAUUCUUUCUUCUGUCAGUUAUCAGCUGUUACUUUUAGCUUGCUUUAGAAAAAAAGUGCGCGAAAUUUUGUUUACAUUUGUUUGUUUGGCUUCAAUUUUAAUAUGGGUACCACAUGUAUUGAAAGAAAUUCAUUUAACAAACCGAAUCAACGCUUGUGAUAUGCACCUUAAACGCAAUGAAUUCGAUCCGUUUUUAAAACGAAUCAUAACUGGAGAUGAAAAAUGGAUUGUUUACAACAACGUUAGUCGAAAACGAUCAUGGUCCAAGCAUGGUGAACCAGCUCAAAGCACUUCAAAGGCUGAUAUCCACCAAAAGAAGGUUAUGCUGUAUGUUUGGUGGGAUUGGAAGGGUGUGGUAUAUUUUGAGCUGCUUCCAAGGAACCAAACGAUUAAUUCGGAUGUUACUGUCAACAAUUGGACAAAUUGAAUACAGCCAUCAAGAAGAAGCGACCAGAAUUGAUCAAUCGUAAAAGUGUCAUAUUCCACCAGGACAACGCUAGACCGCACAUAUCUUUGGUCACUCGCCAAAAACUGAGUGAGCUUUGCUGGGAACUUUUGAUGCAUCCACCAUAUAGCCCUGACCUUGCACCAUCAUACUACCAUUUAUUUCGAUCUUUGCAGAACUCCUUAAAUGGUAAAACUUUCGGCAAUGAUGAGGCUAUAAAAUCGCGCUUGGUUCAGUUUUUUGCAGAUAAAGGCCAGAAGUUCUAUGAGCGUGGAAUACUAAAUUUGCCAGGAAGAUGGCAAAAGGUUAUCGAACAAAAUGGCAAUUAUAUAUUUGAUUAAAGUUCAUUCUAAGUUUUAUUAAAAAAGCAUUUACUUUCUUUUAAAAAAUCCGCAAUUACUUUUUAGGCAACCCAAUAUUUAAUGUUCGCAGGCGUGAACAUAUAACAGAAUUCGUCAGAGAGUUUCUUGGUGUUUCCUUUGGGAACAAUAUUAAUUGUAUUAACCUGCUGUUGUUCAUAAAAUAAUUACAAAUAUUGUAUCUUUUUCUUUAGGUGAUUUAUUUACGUUAUCUCGUUCGGUUAGAAAUACCCAAAUUGCUAUUGUUGGGAUAUCUUGUUCGUCGUAAGGACAUUUUGUUAUACCUAUUGCUCGAUGCUGGAACUUUUCCCCAAUAAUUUGAUAAAUUGUUCUCACUUUUCGAUUGAAAAUUUCAAAUUAUUUCAGAUGUAAUGAAGCCCGAUUCUACUGUUUGUAGUUGUAGUUUUUUUUUUUCUAUCAACAAUGUUGUUGCUAUCAUCAUAGGAUUAAAUGCUUUUCAUCAUGUUUAAAUUAAGAAGGUUGGAUCACUUGCCCUACAACAACGACAUCAAAGAUACAACAUUGCUGGCGCAUAUUCCCAAUAGGCUGUCAAAUUCCUGGACACUUCCUAGUUGACAUUAUAGUUAUUAUUUGCAUUAGCAUUUGUAGCGGCCAAAAGAUCAAAAAAUUUAUGAUUAUAAACGUGUAAAUUAUAAAUUAAAACAAUUAAAAUGUGAAAAAAGGAAUGAAAUGUGAAAAAAAUUUUAAAAUCCAAACCGAGCAUUUGACGUUCUAGUGGGAUUUGGAUACAACUCUGGAAUUGGAAAAUUCCAUCAGCUGGGCAAGUGAGCUAACCUUCUUUAGUGAACCCUGCUUUUCAGUAUUCCUGCUUUAUUGUUAAUCGGCUGGGGGCCUACAAAAACCAAUUUAUUUUGCAUAAUGUCUCAAAUGCGAAGUUUUGGACAAAUAGGCUUAGUGUUUGAAAGAUAUGAAUAAAUAAAUAAAUAAAAGGAAAUUGUUGUUACGUCAUCAUUAGUCUAGAUAACAUUAGUAUUGCCUGUGCAACAAAUGAGGAAGUAAAGAAUAUAAAAUUUUUUCAGAAAUGUUUCCCGAUUACUAAUAUUAAACACUAUCUUGGAAUUGAAACAUACAAAGACAAAAACGGAAAUUUUUAAGGGUUACAUUCAUAGAACUGUCAAAGAAUAUAGUUUAAGAAAUACAAAUCCAACCAGAACUCCAAUGGAAAAGGAGGAGAUUCUAAGCACCUAGACACGUAUGUUAAACACAUACCUUCUAUACAUAUCUGUUAAUACGAACAGACGAGAUAUUUAUGCUGUCGUUUGUAUUUUGGCGCAGAAGGUUUCUUACCCUACUAUAGAAGAAUGGAAAGAAUACUGCUACUAUUAAACUUCAAAUGAGCGACUAAACAAAAUACCAAGGUCUGAUUGGAUGCGCAGAUGCCAACUGGGUUGAUGAACGAUCACAAAGAAAAUCUAAUAGUGGCAGAAUAUGUUUCUACAAUGGCACUACAAUUGGUUGUCAUGUCAAAAGCAAACUUUAGUGGCAUCGCCAACCUGUGAAGCCGAUUAUAUUUCACUUUCAAAAGCAAAGCGGAUAAUGCAAAUAUUGGAAGAUAUUGAAGGACCAAUACCAAUAUUCAACGGCAAUCAAAGCUGUCUGCGGCUAGUUAAUGAUGACAAAUUUUCUUUCCAAACCAAACACGCUAAUAAAAAUUAACAAAACUUAGUACUUAGACUUACUAAAGAAAGGAAUAAUAACGUGCGUAUAUAGUCGAACGGAGGAAAUGAUGGCCGAUAAAUUAACCAAACAGCAUCUAAACAUAAGACUCUCUGCGACAAAUGCAAUUUAAAGUGAAUGACGAGGAGUCAAUGUGGUUUAAUGAUUAUUUGUUUCGCCAUGGAGGAGGAGUAUUGAAAUAAACUUGCAAUUUGUAUUUUAUGGAAUAGAAAAUUCCAUUUGGCUUAAUGUUAUUAAAUUUCGAAUCGAACAAAACGAUUAAAAUUAAAUUGUCUAAAUAUAUAGUGACUUAAGAACUUUGAUUCCGAAUCUA